rnacentral:rRNA from 1 species
AAGCGUUGUUCGGAAUCACUGGGCGUAAAGGGUGCGUAGGCGGCGCGGAAAGUCAGAGGUGAAAUCCCGGAGCUCAACUCCGGAACUGCCUCCGAUACUCCCGCGCUCGAGGACUGGAGAGGAGUCUGGAAUUCACGAUGGAGCAGUGAAAUGCGUAGAGAUGCGGAGGAACACCGAUGGCGAAGGCAGCCCCCUGGGCUGACACUGACGCUCAGGCACGAAAGCGUGGGGAGCAAACAGG